rnacentral:rRNA from 1 species
UGCCUUACACAUGCAAGUCGAACGCGAAAGGGGGGGCGACUCCCCGAGUAGAGUGGCGAACGGGUGAGUAAUACAUCGGAACGUGUCCAGUAGCGGGGGAUAACCUCUCGAAAGAGAGGCUAAUACCGCAUACGACCUACGGGUGAAAGAGGGGGAUCGCAAGACCUCUCACUAUUGGAGCGGCCGAUGUCGGGUUAGCUAGUUGGCGGGGUAAAAGCCCACCAAGGCGACCAUCCGUAGCUGGUCUGAGAGGACGGCCAGCCACACUGGAACUGAGACACGGUCCAGACUCCUACGGGAGGCAGCAGUGGGGAAUUUUGGACAAUGGGCGCAAGCCUGAUCCAGCCAUGCCGCGUGAGUGAAGAAGGCCUUCGGGUUGUAAAGCUC